UGCAAGCGUUAAUCGGAAUCACUGGGCGUAAAGGGUGCGUAGGCGGUACGUUAGGUCUGUCGUGAAAUCCCCGGGCUCAACCUGGGAAUGGCGGUGGAAACCGGUGUACUAGAGUAUGGGAGAGGGUGGUGGAAUUCCAGGUGUAGCGGUGAAAUGCGUAGAGAUCUGGAGGAACAUCAGUGGCGAAGGCGGCCACCUGGCCCAAUACUGACGCUGAGGCACGAAAGCGUGGGGAGCAAACAGGAUUAGAUACCCUGGUAGUCCACGCCCUAAACGAUGAAUACUAGAUGUUUGGUGCCUAGCGUACUGAGUGUCGUAGCUAAC
rnacentral:rRNA from 1 species